GGGUCAGUAGGUUGGUCGUGCCACCGGUACGUACUGGUCUCACUGAUUGCUCCUUCCUGAAGAACCGUAAUGCCAUUAAUUUGGUGUUGCGGGGAAACAGGACUGUUACUUUGAACAAAUUAGAGUGUUUAAAGCAAGCUAACGCUUGAAUACAUUAGCAUGGAAUAAUGAAAUAGGACGAUCGAUCCUAUUUUGUUGGUUUCUAGGAUUGACGUA
rnacentral:rRNA from 1 species